rnacentral:lncRNA from 1 species
AGAACUUCUAACUGUUCAUUUUCCCCUACGUGCUGGAAAAUUCCCUAAUCUGUUUGUAACCUUUUCCGAGUGCUUUGAUUCCUAUGAGUGAUCAAACAUCGGACAGCCCUGCACAGCUCACAGCUGAUCCGAGGCCAUGACUUACACUGACAAGAGUAAAUGCUGUUAACUAUGUCCUAUCUAAAACACAUCCAAGUGUCAGGCUACACACCAGUCUUAAAUGCCUACAGAGCCAAAGCCAGCAGUGCCAGCAGGUGACUUACUGUUUCCUCCUCUGUUGGUCCAAGAAUUAGGAGAAUGGUUUCACCCCAGCCCAGUGUUUAAAUCAUUCUGAAGAGAGUACAGUUUUCAUACGCACUUCAAUAAAAGUUACAAGCAGCUCAAAAUACUGAACCAGCAUUCCUUUGUUCUUCUCUGGCUUGCCCUGGCCUUCUCCCAUGCAAAGUCUAUUGUCCUUCUCCUACUCUAGUUUCUUUAAAAAGCUUCCUAAAACCUUUUUUCUGGUCUCCUUUGGUCACUUUUGGAAAGUUGCUGUAAGGGAGGCAUCUCCAACAUUAGGCAGCCUCACCUGAAGACUGAGAUGUUUCUCUAGUUCUGGAGUAAAAAAAAUCCACAUGACUGAAAAUAACCUUUUCUAAGCGCACACACACACACACACACACACACACACACACACACAAACCAUCCUAAACAAACAAACAAACAAACAAAAAACAAAGAAGAGCAAAAAACAUUAUCACAUCAAAAUUAUAACAACAAUAAAAGGAAUCAAAAUCACAUUUGGAAAACUGUGAUGGCAUGCUCUCUAUAUUUAACUAAGCUGUGUUGUAUAUGUGUAGGGUGCACGUGAAAGUCGGAGGACAACUCCAAGAAGUAGGCUCUCUCCUCAGUCUUGGAGGUGAGUGCCCUUAUCUGUUGUGCCAUCUAGCUCAUGGGGCUGCUAUUAUAUUUACAUAGGAAGUUUUAAGAAGAUACAUGCUAACCAAGUUUGAUAUCUUUUCAGAAAACUGGACAAAUUGUCACAAAUUAACUUUUUAUCCACUAACACCCCAAGAAAGAAGAUGUGCAGGCCUUGCCUCCUGUUCAGUACCCUGUUCCCCAAAAUGAAGUUACUUUUCUAACACAACUUUUUAAAGUUGUUUCCCACAAAACAUCCUAAAGAGCAUGCAUCACUCUGAAAGUUUGCCAGAAGAAAACUUUCCUUCAUUUUGAUGCCAAAUUCCUUUGGGAAGAAGAGAGAGCAUGAAGGAGCAUGUUCCUGGGUGGACUCAUCCACACCCAGGUGUGCUGCUCCCUCCCUGAGUACACAUUCCCUGCCCAGAUAGACUGCUCUCUGCCCAAGCUUUGGAAGUGAUUCUCAGAAGUCUCCUUAUGUGUAGUAGACAAACUUUAUUCUAUAUGGCAACUACUGACAUCUGGAUUCCCACCAAGAGGCAACUCUGCUGGAUUCAAUGGCAGACCUAUAGGAACAUGAAGCUGUAAUUAGUAUGACUUGAAGUCAGAUAAAUUAAAAAAAAAAAAUACCAGCUUAUAUUUCUAAAGUUGAAGCACAUAAAGGAAAUUUGGGCUCCCCCAAAUUGUUGAUGGUUAUUGUCAA